rnacentral:rRNA from 1 species
AGUGAACGCUGGCGGUAGGCCUAACACAUGCAAGUCGAACGGCAGCACAGUAAGAGCUUGCUCUUACGGGUGGCGAGUGGCGGACGGGUGAGGAAUACAUCGGAAUCUACUUUUUCGUGGGGGAUAACGUAGGGAAACUUACGCUAAUACCGCAUACGACCUACGGGUGAAAGCAGGGGAUCUUCGGACCUUGCGCGAUUGAAUGAGCCGAUGUCGGAUUAGCUAGCUGGCGGGGUAAAGGCUCACCAAGGCGACGAUCCGUAGCUGGUCUGAGAGGAUGAUCAGCCACACUGGAACUGAGACACGGUCCAGACUCCUACGGGAGGCAGCAGUGGGGAAUAUUGGACAAUGGGCGCAAGCCUGAUCCAGCCAUACCGCGUGGGUGAAGAAGGCCUUCGGGUUGUAAAGCCCUUUUGUUGGGAAAGAAAAGCAGCAGGUUAAUACCCCGCUGUUCUGACGGUACCCAAAGAAUAAGCACCGGCUAACUUCGUG